rnacentral:lncRNA from 1 species
GGCUGUGGAGAUGAGUGAUGGGGCUGCCAUUCUGGUCCCGCCACUGCUUCUUCCUCUAAAAGCAAUUUAGAGGAGAGCCAAGAGGAACAGAGCCUACCCCUUUAAUUAGCCUGCGGAGCCAGGCAAGGUAAAUAUUUGUGACUGAAACAGCGUGGAUCCAUGGAAGCUGGGAUUUUAGCCUAGAAGCCUUGUGCUGCCAAGUUGCCAUGAGACCAGAAAGCUGAAGCUAUGUUUUGCCUCAGAAAGUGCUUCUGAGUUGAAGAGAAGUGGGAAGGAAAUCAGCAGUAGAAUUAAGAAUCGCAAACACCCGCUGCAAGGUGGGCGGGGAUUUAUAAUUAUCAGUACAGCAAAGUCUGCUGUAUAGACAGCUAGUCAUUACAAUCCAUUG